rnacentral:rRNA from 1 species
UACGGAGGGUGCGAGCGUUGUCCGGAAUCAUUGGGCGUAAAGGGUGCGUAGGCGGCCUGGUAAGUCUGGCGUGAAAGCCCAGGGCUCAGCCCUGGAAGGGCGCUAGAAACUGCGAGGCUGGAGUGCCGGAGGGGAGAGUGGAAUUCCUGGUGUAGCGGUGAAAUGCGUAGAUAUCAGGAGGAAUACCGGUGGCGAAAGCGACUCUCUGGACGGCAACUGACGCUGAGGCACGAAAGCGUGGGGAGCAAACAGG